rfam:Triticum aestivum genome assembly, contig: Triticum_aestivum_CS42_TGACv1_scaffold_093062_2AL
AUUAUACUCCCUCCGUCCCAAAAUUCUUGUCUUAUAUGAUGUAUCACUAUAGAUACAUCCGUAUCUAGACAAAUCUAAGAUAAGAAUUUUGGGAUGGAGGUAAUAUUAA